AGGGUUUGAUUAUGGCUCAGGACGAACGCUGGCGGCGUGCCUAACACAUGCAAGUCGAACGGAGUUUAAGGAGCUUGCUUCUUAAACUUAGUGGCGGACGGGUGAGUAACGCGUGAGUAACCUGCCUUUCAGAGGGGGAUAACGUUCUGAAAAGAACGCUAAUACCGCAUGAGACUACAGAACCGCAUGGUUCAGUGGUCAAAGGAGCAAUCCGCUGAAAGAUGGACUCGCGUCCGAUUAGAUAGUAGGCGGGGUAACGGCCCACCUAGUCGACGAUCGGUAGCCGGACUGAGAGGUUGAUCGGCCACAUUGGGACUGAGACACGGCCCAG
rnacentral:rRNA from 1 species